UGGAAGGAAAAAAGUCGUAACAAGGUCUCCGUUGGUGAACCAGCGGAGGGAUCAUUACAGAGUUGCAAAACUCCCUAAACCAUUGUGAACGUUACCUAUACCGUUGCUUCGGCGGGCGGCCCCGGGGUUUACCCCCCGGGCGCCCCUGGGCCCCACCGCGGGCGCCCGCCGGAGGUCACCAAACUCUUGAUAAUUUAUGGCCUCUCUGAGUCUUCUGUACUGAAUAAGUCAAAACUUUCAACAACGGAUCUCUUGGUUCUGGCAUCGAUGAAGAACGCAGCGAAAUGCGAUAAGUAAUGUGAAUUGCAGAAUUCAGUGAAUCAUCGAAUCUUUGAACGCACAUUGCGCCCGCCAGCAUUCUGGCGGGCAUGCCUGUUCGAGCGUCAUUUCAACCAUCAAGCCCCCGGGCUUGUGUUGGGGACCUGCGGCUGCCGCAGGCCCUGAAAAGCAGUGGCGGGCUCGCUGUCGCACCGAGCGUAGUAGCAUACAUCUCGCUCUGGUCGCGCCGCGGGUUCCGGCCGUUAAACCACCUUUUUAACCCAAGGUUGACCUCGGAUCAGGUAGGAAGACCCGCUGAACUUAAGCAUAUCAA
rnacentral:rRNA from 1 species